AUGCAAGUCGAGCGGACAGAAGGGAGCUUGCUCCCGGAUGUUAGCGGCGGACGGGUGAAAACACGUGGGUAACCUGCCUGUAAGACUGGGAUAACUCCGGGAAACCGGAGCUAAUACCGGAUAGUUCCUUGAACCGCAUGGUUCAAGGAUGAAAGACGGUUUCGGCUGUCACUUACAGAUGGACCCGCGGCGCAUUAGCUAGUUGGUGGGGUAAUGGCUCACCAAGGCGACGAUGCGUAGCCGACCUGAGAGGGUGAUCGGCCACACUGGGACUGAGACACGGCCCAGACUCCUACGGGAGGCAGCAGUAGGGAAUCUUCCGCAAUGGACGAAAGUCUGACGGAGCAACGCCGCGUGAGUGAUGAAGGUUUUCGGAUCGUAAAGCUCUGUUGUUAGGGAAGAACAAGUGCGAGAGUAACUGCUCGCACCUUGACGGUACCUAACCAGAAAGCCACGGCUAACUACGUGCCAGCAGCCGCGGUAAUACGUAGGUGGCAAGCGUUGUCCGGAAUUAUUGGGCGUAAAGGGCUCGCAGGCGGUUUCUUAAGUCUGAUGUGAAAGCCCCCGGCUCAACCGGGGAGGGUCAUUGGAAACUGGGAAACUUGAGUGCAGAAGAGGAGAGUGGAAUUCCACGUGUAGCGGUGAAAUGCGUAGAGAUGUGGAGGAACACCAGUGGCGAAGGCGACUCUCUGGUCUGUAACUGACGCUGAGGAGCGAAAGCGUGGGGAGCGAACAGGAUUAGAUACCCUGGUAGUCCACGCCGUAAACGAUGAGUGCUAAGUGUUAGGGGGUUUCCGCCCCUUAGUGCUGCAGCUAACGCAUUAAGCACUCCGCCUGGGGAGUACGGUCGCAAGACUGAAACUCAAAGGAAUUGACGGGGGCCCGCACAAGCGGUGGAGCAUGUGGUUUAAUUCGAAGCAACGCGAAGAACCUUACCAGGUCUUGACAUCCUCUGACAACCCUAGAGAUAGGGCUUUCCCUUCGGGGACAGAGUGACAGGUGGUGCAUGGUUGUCGUCAGCUCGUGUCGUGAGAUGUUGGGUUAAGUCCCGCAACGAGCGCAACCCUUGAUCUUAGUUGCCAGCAUUCAGUUGGGCACUCUAAGGUGACUGCCGGUGACAAACCGGAGGAAGGUGGGGAUGACGUCAAAUCAUCAUGCCCCUUAUGACCUGGGCUACACACGUGCUACAAUGGACAGAACAAAGGGCUGCAAGACCGCAAGGUUUAGCCAAUCCCAUAAAUCUGUUCUCAGUUCGGAUCGCAGUCUGCAACUCGACUGCGUGAAGCUGGAAUCGCUAGUAAUCGCGGAUCAGCAUGCCGCGGUGAAUACGUUCCCGGGCCUUGUACACACCGCCCGUCGCACCACGAGAGUUUGCAACACCCGAAGUCGGUGAGGUAACCUUUAUGGAGCCAGCCGCCGAAGGUGG
rnacentral:rRNA from 1 species